GAUGAACGCUAGCUACAGGCUUAACACAUGCAAGUCGAGGGGCAGCAUGAACUUAGCUUGCUAAGUUUGAUGGCGACCGGCGCACGGGUGAGUAACACGUAUCCAACCUGCCGAUGACUCGGGGAUAGCCUUUCGAAAGAAAGAUUAAUACCCGAUGGCAUAGUUCUUCCGCAUGGUAGAACUAUUAAAGAAUUUCGGUCAUCGAUGGGGAUGCGUUCCAUUAGGUUGUUGGCGGGGUAACGGCCCACCAAGCCUUCGAUGGAUAGAGGUUCUGAGAGGAAGGUCCCCCACAUUGGAACUGAGACACGGUCCAAACUCCUACGGGAGGCAGCAGUGAGGAAUAUUGGUCAAUGGACGAGAGUCUGAACCAGCCAAGUAGCGUGAAGGAUGACUGCCCUAUGGGUUGUAAACUUCUUUUAUACGGGAAUAAAGUGAGGCACGUGUGCCUUUUUGUAUGUACCGUAUGAAUAAGGAUCGGCUAACUCCGU
rnacentral:rRNA from 1 species